rnacentral:rRNA from 1 species
GAUGAACGCUGGCGGCGUGCCUAAUACAUGCAAGCCGAGCGAAUGGAUUAAGAGCUUGCUCUUAUGAAGUUAGCGGCGGACGGGUGAGUAACACGUGGGUAACCUGCCCAUAAGACUGGGAUAACUCCGGGAAACCGGGGCUAAUACCGGAUAACAUUUUGAACCGCAUGGUUCGAAAUUGAAAGGCGGCUUCGGCUGUCACUUAUGGAUGGACCCGCGUCGCAUUAGCUAGUUGGUGAGGUAACGGCUCACCAAGGCAACGAUGCGUAGCCGACCUGGGAGGGUGAUCGGCCAAACUGGGACUGGGAAACGGCCCAGACUCCUACGGGAGGCAGCAGUAGGGAAUCUUCCGCAAUGGACGAAAGUCUGACGGAGCAACGCCGCGUGAGUGAUGAAGGCUUUCGGGUCGUAAAACUCUGUUGUUAGGGAAGAACAAGUGCUAGUUGAAUAAGCUGGCACCUUGACGGUACCUAACCAGAAAGCCACGGCUAACUACGUGCCAGCCGCCGCCGUAA